CAUACGUCCUUGUCCACUACAGAAACAGCGGUGAAAACAAGUUAAAAGCAAGCCAAAUGAGGGAUUUAAGAUAGAGACCUCCACAAGGCAACAGCGACAAGAUGUGUUUCAGUGAGAAAAAAUGAUAAUGAUGAUGAUGAUAAUUUCGUGUAGAUUUCUCCCAUCUCUGUUUUGUAUCUUGUUGCCUCUUCGAAAUCUCUUAAAUUUCAUAUUUAUGGACUUCCAACAGGUAACACCUAUUCAUAUCAUCAUUUCCAUUGAAACUGAUAACGACUGGAAAUUGUAGAGUUUGGUCCCCACAGCUGGGUUUCUGUAAACUCAGAAAUGCUCUCUCAUAACCUUGCCCUUGUAGCUAGUACCACUACUAUUUUCUCUGAUAGUGGGGCUUUCAAAUGGUUUAAUGCGUGUCCCUUUCAGAUUGCAAUUCUGAGGGACUUAACCUCUGAGGCAAAUAGAAAGACACAAGAGAUAAGAGCCGUGGUUCUGAAAAGAAACAAAACGUUUCAGAAACAAGUUUGCCGGGGGUGGUGAUGGUGCCUUAGUGGGGCGAGGUCGAUCGUCUCUGCCUCAGCAGAGAAGAGGAGGCAAAGUGUGAAGUUUUUGGUUUCUUUUUUUUUUUCUAACUUUUGAUUGUGACCCUUAGCUUGGACAGUGGAAUUUCUACAGACGGGAAAUGGCGCUUCAGUGGUGGAUUUGUGUCCGUUGAGCGAAUUCCUUAUUCAAAUAUAGGUUUGAUUUGCAUUUGCCAUCUCAAAUUCGGCAUUACAACACUUUACCUUAUGGAGGGAGGUCCGAAUUUUGCCUACAAGUUGAUUCGCAAUGUGUUGUGCAGUUCCUUUCGGGUGAAUCGUCGGAGGACCACCAAGAUCGCAAGUUACCGGGAAUUGGUUGCGCGUGCUGGGAAGUUCGAGUUGAGUACAUAUAUUAGAGAGGCGAAUUUUGCUCACUUCGGCCACUAUUUGCCACCAGGCGUGCUUAAGUUAAAUUCUCAUUGAAAUCCGUCAAAAGAAAGGAAGAGCAAUGAGUCUAAAGUUGUGAGUAAAUGAGACGAGUAGUUAGGUUGUUGGGGGCUAUAUGAUAACGACUUAAAAUGUUUUCACAGGUAAAGUUAAUUCAAGGGAUUAAUUACUAAUAGUAGGCUCUGAGGAUCAGGCACCCUAAGAUGGGUGUUGGACCAUUUUGUGGACAUUACAUGAAUAAAUUUGGUCUUGAAAAGUUAAAAGGGUAGUAGGGUCCUCUACUACUUACCCUUCUCUUGUUUUAAAUGGGGGAGAUGGUCCAGUAUUUACCUGAAAUUGGUAGGCCUUAUCAAUAGUUGAAUAUGCCCUAGAACAGCCAAGCCUC
rnacentral:lncRNA from 1 species